AAGGUUCUUUGAAUGAUCGCUUGCCAAGGAGCGCUUUGCUCCGGCAAGAGGAAAGUCCGAGCACUAUCGAAACAAUGCAACGGGUAACACCCGUCGGACGCGUUCCAAAUAGCGUUUUAGCAAACAAAACCGCGUCUAGAGAAAGUGCCACAGAGACUAUACUAGCUUCGUUUAACGAAGCGAAAGGUGAAAAGCCCGGCUAAGCCGGGGAUCUCAAGGUAACUUGAGGGUAUGGUAAACCUUGCAUAGUGCAAGGCGGGGUGGAAAGAAAGGAUGCGGCAAAAAAAUGCCGCGUAAAGUUCGGUUUCGAAACUCCAAUCUUCCCGCCGCAUGAUCCGAGCUGUAAAGCACGGACACAGAUAGAUGAUCAUUGCGCCGCGACGCGGCGAACAGAACUCGGCUUACAAAAGAACCUUCGCG
rnacentral:RNase_P_RNA from 1 species